GGGCAUUUCUGUGGAUAUUCAACAUAUUUCAUGAGGGGAAUCAUCGGUUGUAUCUGGCAACCAGCUAGAGUCAGGAACAAAGCAGUGAAAUGGAGGACGGACAGAGCUGGAUGAUGACUACCGUUAAACUAGAAGAAGAAGAAGAAAAGGAACAAAUAUUAAGGAGGGAAGUGAAACUGAGUAUGAGUAAGACGGACAGUGAUGAUGAUGAUGAUGAAGGCUGCAGGAGGAAAGCUGUGCUGGAGGAGCUUCGUCAUCCCGACCAUGUGUGGGACGGAAUGUUUGCUCCAAAGAUGGAGAAAGCGGAGAAGAAGAAACGGAGGAGUUUUCAGAUGUGUGCUCUGUGAAGGAAGAGCAAUGCAUGUCUAAACGUUUUGAUGGAUCACAACAAGCUUUGGAUCUGAACAGUAUUCACACAGACACAGUGAUGCGUUUCCAUCUGCUGAAGCACACACGACUGAAUGUGGUGACGUUCCUCAACGAGCUGCCAUAAACUCAGCAUGACAUCAUCUCUUUCACCGUGGACGUAAACGCCUACACAGUGAGUUCAUGUCUGAUCUGCCACACACUGAGUUACAUCAUUUAUGUUGUUCACUCUCAGCCAAACUGCUUUGUUUUCACAGAAUACGCUGCUGUCAUUCACAGUGGGCGGAGUCUUCAAAGAAGUUGUUGUAGAUGAUAAAUCUAAAGAAUCUACAAGGUUUUCAUCACAGUUCCAGCAGUGGAUUCUGGUUUGUGCAUCAUCAACGACCAGCUCUUCAUCAGAAUGGCUACAACGGAGCAGAUCAGCAGAGCUUUUGUGCCCCGCCCCCUUCCUCCAGCCCAGUGCCCACCCUCACUGCCCCACAGCAGGAGAUGCUCAGCACCUUCUCCCUGAAGUCAGACAUGAACCUGGAAUGAUCCCUGAAGUAGGUGUCCUCUCCUAAUGCCGUCUACCAGACUAGGAUGAAUGUCACAGCUCACUGGUAAACACUGUGUGAUGCAGGUGUCUGCAGGACAACAAGUGGGACUUGAAAAAAGCAAAACUGUUCCAAAUAUUUUCACUAAAAUCAGAGUUAAUAACUUUUAAAAUAUAUUUAUUUUCAAAGGAAGAAGAAAAACAUUAUGGUUCAAUGUCUGC
rnacentral:lncRNA from 1 species